UUUACCUAAGACACUUCUGAACUUCUCUCUCGGGUUAUGAGAAAAAAGACACUAGCAUGCUUUGUCUGUUUGCUGAUAGAAACUGACACUUUCUGGCUUCUUUCCAUGAUCAAUUGACACUUUCAUUUCCAUUGGAAAAAAGGAAAUGUCAGUUUCCAAGAUGAAAAGUUUCCCUCAGACAAUAUAUUUAAACAGUCAUUAUCAGUAUUACUCUUGGAAAAUGUUGCAGAGAAAGUGUCAAAAAAAAUAUCUUUUCCCUACACAGCACUAAUGGAAAAUUAAAAAACAAUAGCAAAAGCUAUAUAUAUCUAUCUAU
rnacentral:lncRNA from 1 species